CGUUCGUCCCAAGAACCUCUCUAUCCUUCGUGGACGAAGAUCCUUCAUCCCAAAUUGAAAUUAGGGUUCAUCGAAACCCUCCCAAUUCCCAAUUCCCCCAAUUCCUUGUCAGAAUGAAACGAAAGCAAGUUCCAAAAUCUUAUCCGGAAGGUGACAAUGUUUUUGUCAGCGAUUACAUCGACUUUCAUGGUGGAAAUUUAUUCCACGAAGUGAAGGAUUCAAACCGUCGUACACUGUUCGAGAUCCCUCUCCGGGAUCUCCAAAGAUUUUCAAGGGAUGUGUUUUCCGGAGUGAUUACUCGUCGGCGAGAGGGAAAACCGAUCGGUUCCCUCUUGCCGAAGAAUCUUCAGGUAAUAGAUCAUCGAGUGAUCUUGCCCAAGAUUUCGGAAUCCGAUGGUUAUGAUUAUGAGCGACGGGUUGAAGAGUUCUUUGUGGCUGUGUUUCCGAACCCAAAUGCAGAGCUUGCCGAUUUUCUUAGAAAACUCAGGCAACCACAACUGAAAAUGAGACAGUUUGAGUCUCUAUAUUUUCAUUACUUUCUUUUGAACGAGGAACAACGUGCGGAUUUUGUAAAGAAUUCAGUGGAUAAUCUCCGUAAUAAGAGAGUUAUCUUUAAAGGGUCAUUUUUCAAGUGGGAAGUGGCUUAUGAGAAGUGGGAGGCAUUCGUGAAUGGGGGCAGCAAUAAAAAAUAUGAUUUGCUACAGGCUAGUACGAAGGAUAGCGGGGCUGCAAUGGUUUGGAAUUUUAAGAGCAGAAGAAAUCCAGGCAACUGUGUGGAUGAAGCUGAGUUUGGACGUAACAUCGUUCAUCACAUUAAUGAAAGGCGAGAAAAGGCAACACCACCAAUGUGCCCACUGGAUAAGAACCAGAUAGGCCAUGCAGUUCAUAGAGUGAUGCCUGGCAUCAACUCUAAGUUGUUUGACUUCAUGUUUGAUUGUUAUGUUGACAUGGACUUUGAUAAAGUCCUUGUUGACCCCCCCAAGAGCAAUUGAAUUCUGAUUUAUUUAUUAGUAAUAUCACCAUGUGAUAUUACUAGUACUAUCUAAUUUAUUGAGAGACAGCAUGUAGCUGGUUUGAAUCAUCCUUUGUUUGCAUUUUUUGGACAACCAAGUGUUGUGGAGAGUUCAAUGAGGUCAGUAGCUGGUUUGAAGCAUCGUUGCAUUGUUUGGACAUCCUGCUGAAAGGGUUGAUGCAGACACAGGGCAUACAGUAGAUAGAGCUGCUCCGGAUGAAAUGGGUGCAUCUAAUGAUUGGUGCAACAUGGGCAGAUAGAUGGUUUUGGAGAGGGAUUUUCAAUUAGGGAGCUUUGUGCAAGAAGAAUGAGAAUUGGAUACGAACAGCAUUGCAAAACAGUAGGCCCCCUUGAGGGUACUGCUCACAUUACAGUUCUGUUGGGCAGGACAGGUAAUAGGGCUUUGAGGCACCGCCUUCUGUUCCUUAAAGGCUGUUGUUACCAGAAAUCCCAAGGCCAUGAUUCAUCUAUACAGCACAGGCGCAUUUUAUUUUUUCCUGGCAUAUCCGGAAUCUCAUUUGAGUUGCCCAACUCUUGUCAGUGACUCAUGUUCACCAAGCAUUUCAUGGUGGUGAAGAUGCUGCAGUUUCUUCUUCCUUCUCUCUGGCGAAACAUGUGGCUUUGCAACCGAGCAGAGGAGUCUGAUGAUGGAUUCUCAUAGCCUACCCAAACUCCCCAAGAACGUGUGCGCCUCAGUUGUCUGCGUGUUCUACAUCAACUUGCAGCUAGCACCACACGUGCUGAAGCAAUGGCAGCAACUAGUGUAGAAACACCUCAGCAACAACCGUGAGAGCUUUUGUGACCCCAAUUUCACAGCUUUCCUUCUUCCUCUGCACUCUCACAUGCAUGAAUUCUACCAGAAGCCUGAAGUGGGUUGUGACUAUAUUCGCAAAGGGCAUACCAGCCAGAGAUGCUGCUGUGACUAUAUAUACAUGUUUUCUCAUCUUCUUGGUUCUGCAAGGAAAAGGUUUUCUUAAGGGUCACUGGUUAUUAAGAACUGGCACAGAUGUAUUUACGAGGCCUCCAUGGCUAGAUGUGAUGGAAAACAUGGUUGUGACUAGCUUACUGCAAAUCACUCUCCAUCUCCGAUAUGAGUUCCCUGUUCCAAGGGAGGCAGAGGCAAGCCCAAGGCCACCAAAUCCGUCUCCAGGUCCUCCAAGGCUGGCCUCCAAUUUCCCGUCGGCCGUAUCGCUCGCUUCCUCAAAUCCGGCCGUCCUCUAGUAUUUCGCCUCUGAGGAAACUGUUCCGGGAGAGUUGGCACUCGGUUGAAAACACCUUUGUUUCCUGAAAACAUAUAUAGCAGAAGAAGGCUCCUAAUGCCAUCAAAGAGAACAGGAAUUUUGCCCAGAAGGCAAUGGGAACAAAUGAUGUCAGGGUGGAUAUGAAGUUGAACAAGCAAUUCUGGGGCAGAGGAAUCAGGAAUCAGGAAUGUCCCAAGAAGAAUCAGGGUUUGCAUUGCUCGCAAGAGGAAUGAUGAUGAAGAUGCGAAGGAAUUGGAGCUAUACUCCCUUGUGACUGGAAUUAUAUUAAGCUUUUUGACAAAACUUUCAGAGUGUUAUGAGAAGAAACAUAUAUUACUCUUGAAAAUUAUAAUAGUAGUCUUAUACUUGUGAUUACUAGACAAGUGGGAGUUCGAAACUUGGAACCUCAGUUCUUGGUCAAAACCUGAAUUGUUCUAGAAAGUUUGUUCUUUUAGCAGAGAAAGACGGGCAUCUGGCUGGUUUCCAUGUAUGUUAAAUUUCUGUUCUGCAUUUUGUCGAUCUGCCUGCCAGAUUUAGACAUAUGUGGGAACUGGAGAAGCAUGCUGCCUUGUAAAGUGGAAAUUGGUGUUUCCUAUAGUGAACGUACUUCUUUUGAACGACAAAACGGAUUUGUAUCUAUGAAGAGCCAUUUGUAUA